rnacentral:rRNA from 1 species
GAUGAACGCUGGCGGCGUGCCUAAUACAUGCAAGUCGAGCGAACAGACGAGGAGCUUGCUCCUCUGACGUUAGCGGCGGACGGGUGAGUAACACGUGGAUAACCUACCUAUAAGACUGGGAUAACUUCGGGAAACCGGAGCUAAUACCGGAUAAUAUAUUGAACCGCAUGGUUCAAUAGUGAAAGACGGUUUUGCUGUCACUUAUAGAUGGAUCCGCGCCGCAUUAGCUAGUUGGUAAGGUAAAGGCUUACCAAGGCAACGAUGCGUAGCCGACCUGAGAGGGUGAUCGGCCACACUGGAACUGAGACACGGUCCAGACGCCGACGGGAGGCAGCAGUAGGGGAUCUUCCGCAAUGGGCGAAAGCCUGACGGAGCAACGCCGCGUGAGUGAUGAAGGUCUUCGGAUCGUAAAACUCUGUUAUUAGGGAAGAACAAAUGUGUAAGUAACUAUGCACGUCUUGACGGUACCUAAUCAGAAAGCCACGGCUAACUACGUGCCAGCAGCCGCCGCGG